UACCUACGGGAGGCAGCAGUAGGGAAUCUUCCACAAUGGGCGAAAGCUUGAUGGAGCAACGCCGCGUGGGUGAAGAAGGUCUUCGGAUCGUAAAACCCUGUUGUUAGAGAAGAAAGUGCGUGAGAGUAACUGUUCACGUUUCGACGGUAUCUAACCAGAAAGCCACGGCUAACUACGUGCCAGCAGCCGCGGUAAUACGUAGGUGGCAAGCGUUAUCCGGAUUUAUUGGGCGUAAAGGGAACGCAGGCGGUCUUUUAAGUCUGAUGUUAAAGGUACCGGCUCAACCGGUACAGGCUCUGGAAACU
rnacentral:rRNA from 1 species